CUGGGCACCGCCAGCCACCUGGACGCCUGCAGGGUGGCCCCCUACGUGAACAUGGGCGCGCUGCGCAUGCCCUUCCAGCCACAUCUGGACCCGGGCACUCUCAGCCCGGGAAGCGGCUUCUGCAGCCCCAAGCGCUGACAUUUCCUGUGGGUUUUCCCACACGCCAUCUGUCCGUCCGUCCGUCUCCGUGGCAGCAGGACGUCG
rnacentral:lncRNA from 1 species